rnacentral:tRNA from 1 species
AGAGUAAUAGUUAAGAGUUUAACGUGCAGUUUGAAACUGCGAGACACCCUAGGGUUUACUCUG